rnacentral:lncRNA from 1 species
GAUAAGUUAGCAAGAAUAUAUAUUCGGGAGAUAAUCAGGUUACAUAGAGUGUCAGUGACAGUAGUAUUCGACAAGGACCCCAUAUUCACUUCUCGGUUCUAGUUUAGUUUUCAGCAAACAAUGGAAACGAAACUGUCCCUUAGUACCAUUCCACCCUCAGACCGAUAGUCAAUCAGAAAGGAUGAUCUGCACACUGGAGGAUAUGCUCCGAGCUUUU